UACGUAGGGUGCGAGCGUUAAUCGGAAUUACUGGGCGUAAAGCGUGCGCAGGCGGUUUUGUAAGCCAGGUGUGAAAUCCCCGGGCUCAACCUGGGAAUGGCAUUUGGGACUGCAAGGCUGGAGUGCGGCAGAGGAGACUGGAAUUCCUGGUGUAGCAGUGAAAUGCGUAGAGUAUCAGGAGGAAUACCGAUGGCGAAGGCAGGUCUCUGGGCUGACACUGACGCUCAUGCACGAAAGCGU
rnacentral:rRNA from 1 species